rnacentral:lncRNA from 1 species
AGAACUUGCUGAGGAAGCGACUUCACCCGGAAGUGGUGAUGAACAAGCUUCAUUUCCACCACCGCCAACACAACCACCUCCCAACCUUGACAGAUUUAUGAGAUUUGUUAGAAAUACAACAUAAAUUAUGAUGUAACUUGUAUAUUGUCACGUCUUCUUUUAGUUUUUUUCCUUUUAACGGUGGUAUAGUACCAUGUUGUGCUCAUUCCAUUGGGGGAAGGAAGACUAAGAAAGAUAUGCCAUUUUGGUCA